AAUCAUACAGGGUGGGCCACGGAAAGGUAGCCCGCCUCCGGCGAUAGUAUGACAAGAUGAACAAGCAAGUGGAUUGUUUCUAUUCACUUACCCACAAGUUACAACAGAUGCUGAAAGCUGGCAUACCUCACAUGGGAAGA